GAUAUAACCGCUUUAUCUUGUGGUGGUGUGAAUAUGAUUGCUCAAUGUUAAAAAUGGCACAGUUAGUACACUGAGAGAAACACAUUGUUAACACUGGGCCUCAUGCGGUGAAUCUGUCCAGUGUAAGGUAAUCUGCAGUAAUAAGCUCCAUUUGUUUUGUUUAGCUUUUAAGCUGAAGGAGAAAGGAAGGGAGAGGGGAGAGUGAAAAAAAAUCUCAUUUCAAAUCCUACCCACCUUCUUAUCUCUAUUUGUUCAGUUGUUUUUAAUGCCACAUACUGAAAGAAUUUCAAUGGCUGUUUUGCCAUGAAGUCAUUUGUUAUCCUUCAGCGGGCUUUCGUCUCCCUAUUGUGUGACAGCCCCCGAGUGUUUGAAUCCUCCAGAUGGAGCAGGUCAGACAUACACAGACUCGGAGACACGCACGGGGAUGCGCACACGCACACACUCACACAGGCAUCCACACUCAUUCGCGAGGCAGGUUCGCAGGCUUUCUUCUUGAUGUAGAUCCACUCGCUUUGUGACAUAUAGGGAGAUGAUAAUGUCAUUUUUGGCAAUUUGUCUUCUCCUUUCCUGUUUGUUGGAAUCGUGGUUGUUAAGAGCUGCCUGGCAGUUACACGGCUCAUGGCAUGUUUACAAAUGGAAAUCUUUUACAGCAGUAUUUCCCAUUUUAUGCAUAUUGUCAGUUGGCGCCGGCAUUUUUGGAAACCUCAAAGAACAGAUGUAUCUGACUUAUUCCUACAUUUGUUAUGGAACUUUUGCCUAGAAAGCACACAGUUAGUAGAAUUUUUUUUUUUACCAUAAUGCCAAUCAUUAAACUAGUUGGUCAUCACCCAUCAGUCAAACUUACAAAGAUGUUUGUCUUUAAAUAUUGUGGAAUUCCCCUUUAAUUGCAUGCACAUCCACAAAUUGCCCAAAAUUCAGGGUGGAUUUUUUUUUUUUUACUAAAACUACUUUCAGAAUAUAAUGCAUACAAUUGAAGAGAUUUAAAAACCAAAUAAUUAUUAAAUGAGUCAUAUCUAUACAUUACUCUUUGGGUACAUCAAAGCUUGUACAAAACAUCAUUUUGUAUACAUUUCUCCGCCGGUUUGUGUUCAACUGUGUCAGGCUUUUACUGAACACUUGGUAAAAAUUUGACAGGUAGUUCAAAAAAUACUCCUUUAUCUAUCUAAAAAUAAAAACAUUCUUCAGGCACAGAGCAUGUUUGUGAUUGAUAAUCUACAGCCGUCAACGUUAACACGUCAGUGUUCACACCACAGGUGCUUUUUCUAGCGACUGUUCACUUUCAGAUGCCGCAGAUGACAAUAAAGGUAAGAGCAGGUUCCAUAACAAGAAGAACGUAAUAACCGUAACAGCCGUCCUUAAAUGAUUUGAUUGACUCACGCUAGACCUCAUCGCUCUAGUUUAAAACUAAUGGAUUCUGGGUAUAAUUUGACCAAGCUGUGAUUGACAGCCCCUUUCUCUAUCUCAACAGUAACCCCUGAUGAUGUACAUUAGAGUCGGAUUAAAAGAAGGUGCUAACGCAUAUUAAAAAUUAAGCCAGGCCAGGAAACUGGUGACUGGUGAAGCUCUUUUUUUUAACCCCUCCAACUGUUUUUAUUGCAACACCUUUUGGGUGGUUUAGCAUUUAAAUUCAAUGGUGUUAAGCACUGAUAGGGACUUGUUAAUCCAGCUGCAACGUGCACUUUGUGAAAGAAAUCAAAUGAGAGGUACAGCAGGCCACAAAGGAGCAACUGAGUGGACAUUAUACUGCUUAACCACUGCCACAGAGCCUUGCAGUUGGGAAGAAAGGAUACUACUACAAGACGGAUAAAAAGUGGUAUUUAUUACUAGGUGCUUAUUUUGUUGAGAGCCUGUUUUUCUGUGCCUGGAGGACUCGACAUAUUUUAAAAAAGGACCGGAUCCGUUUUUUUUUUUAAUCUAGAGAAAGGAUGUGAGUCCUUUUGUGGCUUCCACUUCUGUUAAUAGUUAUAAAUCUUAAAUGUUGAUUUAUUUUCUUUGCAUAAUACCGAAGGCUCUCACUCUGAAGGACAGAGCCCAAGUUCUUUAACUCUGCUUUCUUUAUUGGGAGAUUUCGUGAAGAGUCUGGUGCAAAGACAACGACCCAACAAAAGAUUGUUUUAACAGCUGCACGUCUAUGAUUACACACUUCUUUUGAAGUAUCAUUUUAACGCAGCCUUUGAACUUGGAUGGAGAUCAGAAAUGAAUCGAGCUCCUUUUUGAUGUUGGAGGAGGGGAUUUUCACUGUUGAAAUCUUCAUAAACUCCUCCCGAACGCUUAGCGAACAAGUUCAGUGUCAAUGUUUAAACUAUGGCGGAGUAAAAAACCAAAAAAAAAAAAA